GACGAACGCUGGCGGCGUGCUUAACACAUGCAAGUCGAACGGAAAGGCCCUGCUUUUGUGGGGUGCUCGAGUGGCGAACGGGUGAGUAACACGUGAGUAACCUGCCCUUGACUUUGGGAUAACUUCAGGAAACUGUGGCUAAUACCGGAUAGGAGCUCCUGCUGCAUGGUGGGGGUUGGUCAGUUUCGGCGGUUGGGGAUGGACUCGCGGCUCAUCAGCUUGUUGGUGGGGUAGUGGCUUACCAAGGCUUUGACGGGUAGCCGGCCUGAGAGGGUGACCGGCCACAUUGGGACUGAGAUACGGCCCAGACUCCUACGGGAGGCAGCAGUGGGGAAUAUUGCACAAGGGGCGGAAGCCUGAUGCAGCAACGCCGCGUGCGGGAUGACGGCCUUCGGGUUGUAAACCGCUUUCGCCUGUGACGAAGCGUGAGUGACGGUAAUGGGUAAAGAAGCACCGGCUAACUACGUG
rnacentral:rRNA from 1 species